rfam:Bradyrhizobium sp. Leaf396 contig_12, whole genome shotgun sequence.
CACACAGAUGGGGAUGGAGUCCCCCGACAACCGCCCGGCGGUCGAUGACCUCGUGGGCUGAUGACUCCUGCUUGAGG